CACAGACGCUCUAAUACAGACAUGGUGCGAAGAGUCUAUUGAGCUAGUUAGUAAUCCUCCGGCCCCUGAAUGCGGCUAAUCCCAACUGCGGAGCACAUUCCCACAAACCAGUGGGUAGUGGUCGUAACGGGCAACUCUGCAGCGGAACCGACUACUUUGGGUGUCCGUGUUUCCUUUUAUUUUUUAUAUUGGCUGCUUAUGGUGACAAUUGAGAGAUUGUUACCAUAUAGCUAUUGGAUUGGCCAUCCGGUG
rnacentral:other from 17 species